UACGGAGGAUGCGAGCGUUAUCCGGAUUUAUUGGGUUUAAAGGGUGCGUAGGCGGUCCGUUAAGUCAGCGGUAAAAUUGCGGGGCUCAACCCCGUCGAGCCGUUGAAACUGGCAGACUUGAGUUGGCGAGAAGUACGCGGAAUGCGCGGUGUAGCGGUGAAAUGCAUAGAUAUUACACAGAACACCGAUUGCGAAGGCAGCUUGCUAGGCCGGAUCUGACACUGAUGCACGAAAGCGUGGGGAUCGAACAGG
rnacentral:rRNA from 1 species